rnacentral:rRNA from 1 species
UUCGUAGGCGGUCAAGCAAGUCAGGGGUGAAAUCUAUCGGCUCAACCGAUAAAUUGCCCUUGAAACUGCCUGACUUGAGUACGAGAUAGGAAAGCGGAAUUCUCGGUGUAGCGGUGAAAUGCGUGGAUAUCGAGAGGAACACCAGUGGCGAAAGCGGCUUUCUGGCUCGAUACUGACGCUGAGGAACGAAAGCCAGGGGAGCGGAACG